AAUGAACGCUGGCGGCGCGCCUAAUACAUGCAAGUCGAGCGAGAAGACGUAGCAAUACGUUUGUAAAGCGGCGAACGGGUGAGGAAUACAUGGGUAACCUACCCUCGAGUGGGGAAUAACUAGCCGAAAGGUUAGCUAAUACCGCGUACGCUCCUUGGACUUCGGUUCAGGGAGGAAAGCGAUACCGUGGGUAUCGCGCUCUUGGAUGGGCUCAUGUCCUAUCAGCUUGUUGGUGAGGUAACGGCUCACCAAGGCUUCGACGGGUAGCUGGUCUGAGAGGACGAUCAGCCACACUGGCACUGCGACACGGGCCAGACUCCUACGGGAGGCAGCAGUAAGGAUAUUGCGCAAUGGGCGAAAGCCUGACGCAGCGACGCCGCGUGGGGGA
rnacentral:rRNA from 1 species